rnacentral:rRNA from 1 species
GACGAACGCUGGCGGCGUGCUUAACACAUGCAAGUCGAACGAAGAGCGAUGGAGGCUUGCUUCUAUCAAUCUUAGUGGCGAACGGGUGAGUAACGCGUAAUCAACCUGCCCUUCAGAGGGGGACAACAGUUGGAAACGACUGCUAAUACCGCAUACGAUCUGACCUCGGCAUCGAGGAUAGAUGAAAGGUGGCCUCUAUUUAUAAGCUAUCACUGAAGGAGGGGAUUGCGUCUGAUUAGCUAGUUGGAGGGGUAACGGCCCACCAAGGCGAUGAUCAGUAGCCGGUCUGAGAGGAUGAACGGCCACAUUGGGACUGAGACACGGCCCAGACUCCUACGGGAGGCAGCAGUGGGGAAUCUUCCGCAAUGGACGAAAGUCUGACGGAGCAACGCCGCGUGAGUGAUGACGGCCUUCGGGUUGUAAAGCUCUGUUAAUCGGGACGAAAGGCCUUCUUGCGAAUAGUUAGAAGGAUUGACGGUACCGGAAUAGAAAGCCACGGCUAACUACGUG